GGAGGCUCUUUGAAGUUGGGUUCAGGAGUGUAGAAUUGGCAAAGUUAUUGCCAGCUUCCUGGCUCCUUCACCGGUUUGGGUAAUAAGGCCCUCGUGGUGUGUUCAUCCACUUACCUGAAAUAACUUGGAAUAAAUAAU
rnacentral:sRNA from 1 species